rnacentral:rRNA from 1 species
CAACACGGGGAAACUCACCACGUCCAGACAUAGUAAGGAUUGACAGAUUGAGAGCUCUUUCUUGAUUAUAUGGGUGGUGGUGCAUGGCCGUUCUUAGUUGGUGGAGUGAUUAGUCUGGUUAAUUCCGUUAACGAACGAGACCUUAACCUGCUAAAUAGUUAGGCCAACGUUUGUUGGUCGUCAACUUCUUAGAGGGACUAUUGACUAUUAGUCAAUGGAAGUUUGAGGCAAUAACAGGUCUGUGAUGCCCCCAGAUGUUCUGGGCCGCACGCGCGCUACACUGAUCAAGUCAACGAGUUUACAACCUUGGCCGGAAGGUCUGGGUAAUCUUUUGAAACUUGAUCGUGCUGGGGAUAGUCCAUUGCAAUUAUUGGACUUCAACGAGGAAUUCCUAGUAAGCGCAAGUCAUCAGCUCGCGUUGAUUACGUCCCUGCCCUUUGUACACACCGCCCGUCGCUACUACCGAUUGAAUGGCUUAGUGAGGCUUCCGGACUGGCCCA